UGCAAGCGUUAAUCGGAAUUACUGGGCGUAAAGCGUGCGUAGUCGGUUAUUUAAGUCGGAUGUGAAAUCCCCGGGCUCAACCUGGGAAUUGCAUUCGAUACUGGAUAGCUAGAGUUCGGCAGAGGGAAGCGGAAUUUCGGGUGUAGCGGUGAAAUGCGUAGAUAUCAGGAGGAACACCGGUGGCGAAGGCGGGUCUCUGGGCCGAUACUGACGCUGAGGCGCGAAAGCGUGGGGAGCGAACAGG
rnacentral:rRNA from 1 species